GGAUCAAAAAGCUCGAAAGCAACGUGCAACGUGAUUGCCACGCAUUGACUCGCUAACGAACAUCAAUGGCGUGAGCAGCAUCCCGGUGGCUCUGGUUCCUUCCAAUGGAGGAUCUAUACGGCUGACCAACCCCGAGUCUAUCCAGUAGUCUCUCCAUGCUGCUACCUCUGCAUACCAGACCAUUACAGAAGUGAGACAGUUUGGCCGCGGAGGUAUCGUGUGCAGAUCACCAGACCAGACCUGUGUCGCGGAUUUGCUUAAGUGUUCAUCAUUCGCGUCACUGCCGGACACACGCACACUGGAUAGGACAGGAGGGGUUGUGGACGGGACAU
rnacentral:lncRNA from 1 species